rnacentral:lncRNA from 1 species
GCGGAGGCCCUGGCCCGCCGGCGGGACGAGGAGCGGCGGCUGCAGGAGGAGAGCGAGGCCCGGGAGAAGGCGCGGGCCGAGCAGGAGGAGCUGGAGCGGCUGCAGAGACAGAGGGAAGAGGCCGAGGCCAAGGCGCGCGAGGAGGCCGAGAGGCAGCGCCUGGAGCGGGAGAAGCACUUCCAGCGCGAGGAGCAGGAGCGGCUGGAGCGGAAGAAGGUGAGGGGGGGGGCGCUCGGCAGGCGGUGGGGCCCCGCGCGGGGCCGGGGGCCCCCAGGGCUGCCCACGAGCCCCUCUCUGCCCCGCAGCGCCUGGAGGAGAUCAUGAAGAGGACGCGCAAGUCGGACGCGGCAGAUGCCAAGAAGAAGGAGGACAAGAAGAUGGUGAACGGGAAAGCAGCUGAGCAGGAGGACGUCAAAGGCCCCGAGAAGCGCGCGGGGCCGCUGGCCAAGGAGGAGGAGCUCCCCGAGACGGAGACGCCGAGCGCGGGCACGCCGGGCGCGCAGAAGGGGCCGGCCGGCGAGGGGCUGCAGCCGAGAGGUGCUGUGAGGGCCGAGCCCCCGGCGGACAUCCCCGCGGGGGCCCCCGCGCGCCCGCCAACUCCGGACUCUCACGCAGAACCRUAGCUGUCGUCAGAAGAAAAACCUCGCUGCUCCCCUCCGCCCACCGCCYGCGGGCGGCCCAGGCGGUGCGGGGCCCUGCCGGGGCGGCUCGCGGCCCCCCGCCUGCUCCGGGGACUCCUGGUUUCUCUUUUCAUCCUUGUUUUUAUUUCAUUUCGUUGUUUUUUUUUUUUUAAUAUGCACCUUAUCAGACUGACGCCCCCACUCUAGCAGCCUGCCAGAGCCGCCCCAGACGUGUGGUGUAAUAAUGUAGUUAUUUAACUUGCUGGGUACAAUAUAUGUGAAUACUGUAAAUAAAGCAGGUGAUGCAUCGGGGACGCUCGCCCA